rnacentral:rRNA from 1 species
AAUAUCUGGUUGAUCCUGCCAGUAGUCAUAUGCUUGUCUCAAAGCUUAAGCCAUGCAUGUCUAUGUACAAACUAAAUUAAGGUAAAACCGCAAAAUGCUCAUUAAACUAGUUAUAGUUAACUAGAAUGAUAAAAUUUAAUUGGAUAACUGUGGUAAUUCUAGAGCUAAUACAUGCAAUCAGGUUUUGCUCAGUAAUGAGAAAAACGCUUUUAUUAGAUCAAAACCAAUCGAAUAGUUUACUAUUCGUUUUUUUGAUGACUCUGAAUAACACCGCAGAUCGCACAGUCUAAGUACUGGCGAUAUAUCUUUCAAAUGCCUGACUUAUCAACUGUCGAUGGUAGAUUAUAUGUCUACCAUGGUUAUAACGGGUAACGGGGAAUCAGGGUUCGAUUCCGGAGAGGGAGCCUGAGAAACAGCUACCACAUCCAAGGAAGGCAGCAGGCACGCAAAUUACCCACUCCCGGCACGGGGAGGUAGUGACAAAAAAUAACGAUACGGGACUCAUCCGAGGCNNNNNNAUCGGAAUGAGUACACUUUAAAUCCUUUCAUGAGGAUCCAUUGGAGGGCAAGCCUGGUGCCAGCAGCCGCGGUAAUUCCAGCUCCAAUAGCGUAUAUUAAAGCUGUUGCGGUUAAAAAGCUCGUAGUUGGUUCUGUGUGCCAUGCUGUUGGUUCACCGCCUGUCGGUGCAACUAACAUGUCAUGGAACGUNNNNNNNNNNNNNNNNNNNNNCCUAUUUUUUAGUUCAAGUUUUACUUGAACUAAAGAUAGGUUCCUUUAAUUACCGAUUAGUUCCUACCGCGGUGCUCUUCACUGAGUGUCGAGGUCGGCCGACAAGUUUACUUUGAACAAAUUAGAGUGCUUAAAGCAGGCAAAAAUCUGCCUUGAAUAGUGGUGCAUGGAAUAAUAGAAUAGGACCUUGGUUCUAUUUUGCUGGUUUUCUGAAUCCAAGGUAAUGAUCAAUAUGGACAGGCGGGGGCAUUCGUAUUGCGACGUUAGAGGUGAAAUUCUUGGAUCGUCGCAAGACGAACUAGAGCGAAAGCAUUUGCCAAGUAUGUCUUAAUUGAUCAAGAACGAAAGUUAGAGGUUCGAAGGCGAUCAGAUACCGCCCUAGUUCUAACCAUAAACGAUGCCAGCUAGCGAUCCGCCGAUGUUUUUCUCAUGACUCGACGGGCAGCUCCCCGGGAAACCAAAGCUUUUGGGUUCCGGGGGAAGUAUGGUUGCAAAGCUGAAACUUAAAGGAAUUGACGGAAGGGCACCACCAGGAGUGGAGCUUGCGGUUUAAUUUGACUCAACACGGGAAACUUUAUCAGGCCCAGACAUUGGAAGGAUUGACAGAUUGAUAGCUCUUUCUUGAUUCAAUGGGUAGUGGUGCAUGGCCGUCCUUAGUUGGUGGAACGAUUUGUCUGGUUAAUUCCGAUAACGAACGAGACUCUAGCAUACUAACUAGACGCUUGGUAUUUUUGCUACCAGCGUUUUUAUUCUUCUUAG